CAGGCCGGACGUCCCGUAGCCCUGGGUGGAGAGGGACGCCGGGGACUGGUUCAGAUGGCUUGUGACCGCGUUCGUGCUCAUGGGGCUGAUAGUCGAGCCGGGGCCUGACAGCUGGUGGUGCAUGGGGGUGAGGAGAAAUAAUAAAAGUCAGCGGCGGAUAAACGUCGUCCCGGCGGAUCAAAAAACACAGAAAACCAGGCGAGAGCAGGAGCAGAAGAAGAAGAAGAGGAGGAAGAGGAGGAGGAAGAGUGCAGAGAAAAGUUAAACGUCGAGCGGCUGCAUCAGGUUUGGAAGCGGUGCGACAGCGGCGGAGCGGUGAUGGAGGAGGCUGCAUGUACGCCUUUAGGAUUUGUUGGUGUGUUGUGAGUGAAGUGGUUUGACUUGGAUUUUGUACAAACUGCCAGCCAAUGAGAGCCGCAGGACUGAGCUGAGGUCUGUCUCCGGCUCCGUCUCUCACACUGGUGGGGAGGAUGAGGGUUUUUUUUUUUUCUUUUUUCUUUUUUUUUUUUCUGGGAAACAAAUGUCUCCAGCUACUUUUUUUUUUUUUUUUUUUGACGCACAGUCCUCAGCCAAUGGCAGCGAGAGGGCGACUGACAACAUCCCCAUCCCACCGCAGAGAGGGCGCAUUGAUAAUAAAUAAACGGUAUGCCGAUGGAUGACGAGAAGUGGAUGUUUAGUACCUUUUUAUAAGCAUAUUUAAUAUUUAACAUCGAUAUGAAGAAGAUGUAUAAAAGAAAAUGGAGCAAAGUUGCACGGAGGCAUGGGAUGGUAGAAAUAUGCGCAAAUAAAAGAGUUUUCUGUAAAUAUAAUACUUGUAUUAUAUUAACUGUGUAAUACUUUCAGGUCAGUUUUUGUUGUUGUUGUUGUUGUCACCAUUUUUAUCAUCCAAAAACGUAUUUUUUAUGUUUUUAAAAAUCAAAGUAUUUAACAAGUUAAAAAAAAAAUCGAGAAAUAUUAAAACAGGGUUAAGCGAAAUACGCGCAAUAUUAAGGUGUUUUUAAAGGUCUAAAGGAGUUAAAUACUGUGAAGAGAAAUAAAUCUGUGACAAAAAAGACAAGAGAGAGAAAAAAAACCCCUAAAGCCUGAUCUGAAGCAGGGCUCUGCCUCCGUGUGAAGGCUGCACCGCCGUCCUCUCACAUUCCAGCGCGUCGCAAAAAAGAGGGAUUUAGAGCGACUUAUUUUCUUAAAACUGUCCUCCCGUCCGCAGAGCCAGCCAGUCUGCUCCCAUCAGCCUCGUACAAGGCCCCUGCGCCACCGAACAAAACAUUCGGGCAGAAUAUUUUCUUUUUUUUUUUCUUUCUUUCUUUCUUUCUUUUUUUUUUUAUACAGCAGAGAUACACCGAGCAGAGGCACCGGAGCUGCGGGGAACGGUGCAGCCAGGGAGGAGGACAAAUGACAGAGGGGGGUGAGAGGGGAAAUAAAAACAGACUCGGAGUCGGUUGCUGGAGACAAGAGCGGCUUUAACUUAUUCCACUUCUGCAAGAGGGAGAUGUGAGAGAGGGCAGAGGACAGGAAUGAAGAUUUCGAUCGGGGCAGGAAAGCGGCUGAGUGGAUCAUAAAACCCUGGAUUUCUUUUAAACGGGCAGAUUUGAUCCGAGCAGAGGAGAAGGUUUGGCUGUGGAGGAGGGGGAGACGAGCUGCUGCACCUUCAGGAGUUCGCCAACAAACAAGCGGAUGCAAUUAAACACACACACACACAAACACGCACAUACACAUGCCCGCCUUCAGAUCAUCAAUGAGGAGGCAAAGUCAAGACUGGUGGAGAAACCCGGCAAGGACGAAUGUAAGACGGGAGAAGAGUCGGCCGCCUGAAGGUUAAACACAAACUGUGAGGAGCUUCUUCACUUCCUGUUUACAGUAUUGAAGGUCCUCAUUUCACAACUUUAUUGAUCUCCUAAUUGAUGUGAAUUUUUGGUGGAGAAUCAUUCAGUUUCCCUCUCUGUCCCAACUCUGCCUGGAAAGCAUUGACAAUACAAUUAACAAAUAAAGUCCAUCCCUGUCAAACCGGCGCCCUGCUCUCUCUGACUCUCCCUCUCUCCCCCUCACCCUCGGUAGCCUUCUCCUCUGUGUGCUGAGGUGUCUGCAUGGCGUGGUAAAACCUGCCCUGCAGACCGGACCUCUCAAGUCUUCAAAGGAGGAAGAACUCAAUGUGGGGGAUUUGUUCAGGCUUAUUUGGUAACCUAGGAUUUGAAUUGGAUUCUGGGAGGCAUUCAUAACACAUUUGAAAAUGUUACAUUGUGUGAUUUUGUGUGUAAUCCCCAUA